rnacentral:rRNA from 1 species
UACAGAGGGGGCAAGCGUUGUUCGGAAUUACUGGGCGUAAAGGGCGCGUAGGCGGCCUUCUAAGUCGAACGUGAAAUCCCCGGGCUCAACCCGGGAACUGCGUCCGAUACUGGAAGGCUUGAAUUCGGGAGAGGGAUGCGGAAUUCCAGGUGUAGCGGUGAAAUGCGUAGAUAUCCGGAGGAACACCAGUGGCGAAAGCGGCCACCUGGACUGCACCUGACGCUGACACGCGAAAGCUAGGGGAGCGAACGGG